AGUGAACGCUGGCGGUAGGCCUAACACAUGCAAGUCGAACGGCAGCACAGUAAGAGCUUGCUCUUACGGGUGGCGAGUGGCGGACGGGUGAGGAAUACAUCGGAAUCUACUUUUUCGUGGGGGAUAACGUAGGGAAACUUACGCUAAUACCGCAUACGACCUACGGGUGAAAGCAGGGGAUCCUCGGACCUUGCGCGAUUGAAUGAGCCGAUGUCGGAUUAGCUAGUUGGCGGGGUAAAGGCCCACCAAGGCGACGAUCCGUAGCUGGUCUGAGAGGAUGAUCAGCCACACUGGAACUGAGACACGGUCCAGGCUCCUACGGGAGGCAGCAGUGGGGAAUAUUGGACAAUGGGCGCAAGCCUGAUCCAGCCAUACCGCGUGGGUGAAGAAGGCCUUCGGGUUGUAAAGCCCUUUUGUUGGGAAAGAAAAGCAGCAGGUUAAUACCCCGCUGUCCUGACGGUACCCAAAGAAUAAGCACCGGCUAACUUCGUG
rnacentral:rRNA from 1 species